CAAUAGCGUAUAUUAAAGUUGUUGCGGUUAAAAAGCUCGUAGUUGGAUUUCUGCUGAGAACGACCGGUCCGCCCUCUGGGUGUGUAUCUGGCUCUUUCUUGGCAUCUUCUUGGUGAACGUUGCUGCACUUGACUGUGUGGAGCGCUACCCAGGACUUUUACUUUGAGGAAAUUAGAGUGUUUCAAGCAGGCAUACGCCUUGAAUACAUUAGCAUGGAAUAAUAAGAUAGGACUACGGUCUAUUUUGUUGGUUACGGAUCGAAGUAAUGAUUAAUAGGGAUAGUUGGGGGUAUUCAUAUUUAAUAGUCAGAGGUGAAAUUCUUGGAUUUAUUAAAGAUGAACAACUGCGAAAGCAUUUACCAAGGAUGUUUUCAUUAA
rnacentral:rRNA from 1 species